UACAUGGAGUUGCUCGAUUCUUUCCGAGGUUCUUUGUCAAUCAUAUGUCUUCUGUGGCUUUGCUGUAUUGGGCAAGGGAAGGAAUGUACCAGACUAAUGGACCAAUCAUUAGUAGCAUACAGAGCACAAAAUAUAAGAACUAGUGCAGUUGGAAGCUAUUUAAGUGGUACACUAAGAGUCCUUCAAGAGUAUCGGUUCAAUUGUUCAUCCACUAAUAUAACCAGUCUUAUAUUGGGUAUUGAUGUGAGACCUGGCUAUAAACCUCUUCAGGUGAGAUUGACGGUG